ensembl:lncRNA
GGAGCUGUUAUAUGGGCACGGUGGCGUAGCGGUGAGCACGUCCGCCUCGCACUUCCUGGUUCUGAGGUUCGGAUCCCGUCUCCACCCUGUGUGCACGGCGUUUACGUGUCCUGCACGUUUUUCAUGGGGUUUCCUCUUCACGGUCCACAGACACGCGUUAUAGGCUGAUCGGCAUUUCCGAAAUGUCUGUGAGGGUGUCCGGGGUGACCCCCAGUUCCCUCGGACAGGCUCCAGGUUCCCCGCGGCACCGUGUCGGAUAAGCGGAUGCGUGGAUGGUUCGGACGUGCCUCCUGUCGGUCCUUUUAUUUAUAGACACUGGGGGCGGAGCUUUGUGAACACGGGCGGUAAUCUCGCCGAAUGCAGCUUUUAAUAUAGAUCCUGUUUAUAUUAACGAUCUCGAACAUCGGCGUCUAGACGGAUCGGCGUCCAGACGGAUCCACGUCCUGCGCCUUUAAGCGGAUGCGUUUUAUUUUCAGGUCUUCCCGAAUUCGCUUCGGUCAUCGGCCGGGUGUGAUCAGGACUCGAUCUGGUGAUCUCGGAGGGAGCGCUUUUCUCUCGCGCCGCUCAGGAGGUUGUGCUCCGGCUUCCUGUCAGGGUUAAUCGGAGAACGUUCCGUGAAACGAUUCCGCAACGCCGUCCGUCACACGCUCGGACGUUUGGAGCAGCAGAUGAACUCUCUGAUGCUACCUGUUAGCCUGUGACACCUGCUUGAGGAGACUGCGACCCCCCCCCCUCCCCUCCCCCCCAGACACACACAAUGUCUGGGCUACAGACACCAUGGCCGCCGGGCACGGAGUGUGUGGCUAAGUAUAACUUCCAGGGCACCACAGAGCAGGAUCUGCCCUUCUGUAAAGGAGACGUCCUC